rnacentral:rRNA from 1 species
CCUACGGGAGGCAGCAGUGGGGGAUAUUGCACAAUGGGGGAAACCCUGAUGCAGCGAUGCCGCGUGAAUGAAGACGGCCUUCGGGUUGUAAAGUUCUGUCGCAGGGGACGAAAAUGACGGUACCCUGCAAGAAAGCUCCGGCUAACUACGUGCCAGCAGCCGCGGUAAUACGUAGGGAGCAAGCGUUGUCCGGAAUUACUGGGUGUAAAGGGAGCGUAGGCGGGAGGAUAAGUUGAAUGUGAAAUCUAUGGGCUCAACCCAUAGCUGCGUUCAAAACUGUUCUUCUUGAGUGAAGUAGAGGCAGGCGGAAUUCCUAGUGUAGCGGUGAAAUGCGUAGAUAUUAGGAGGAACACCAGUGGCGAAGGCGGCCUGCUGGGCUUUUACUGACGCUGAGGCUCGAAAGCGUGGGUAGCAAACAGGAUUAGAUACCC